rnacentral:lncRNA from 1 species
AACCACAAGAGUAGACUGAGACUCAUGAUCAUCAACUGAUUCAACAAGAGACUGGCCUAAAGUUCACUUUGUAAACUGUUGUUCCUUUUUAGCAGGCUUGUUCACAAAGGACAUAGUGAAGCUUUUAGACAUUGCAACUGACAAGAAAAAAACACUGAAAUAGCACUAAAUAAUGAAAUGAUUAUGCUUUCUAGUGUUGCUGUGGUGGCCCACUGUGAUUGGCACCAAAGUCUUACCACCUCCUCCUUUAUUUAGUCUCUCUUCAUCACCUUGUUAUCAGCCUGCCAUUUAUGCAUUCAUAGUUAUAAGAUUUUCAUAAAAAAUUGAAAUUAUAAUUGCAA